GAUGAACGCUGGCGGCGUGCCUAAUACAUGCAAGUCGAGCGAAUGGAUUAAGAGCUUGCUCUUAUGAAGUUAGCGGCGGACGGGUGAGUAACACGUGGGUAACCUGCCCAUAGGACUGGGAUAACUCCGGGAAACCGGGGCUAAUACCGGAUAACAUUUUGAACCGCAUGGUUCGAAAUUGAAAGGCGGCUUCGGCUGUCACUUAUGGAUGGACCCGCGUCGCAUUAGCUAGUUGGUGAGGUAACGGCUCACCAAGGCAACGAUGCGUAGCCGACCUGAGAGGGUGAUCGGCAACUCUGGGACUGAGACACGGCCCAGACUCCUACGGGAGGCAGCAGUAGGGAAUCUUCCGCAAUGGACGAAAGUCUGACGGAGCAACGCCGCGUGAGUGAUGAAGGCUUUCGGGUCGUAAAACUCUGUUGUUAGGGAAGAACAAGUGCUAGUUGAAUAAGCUGGCACCUUGACGGUACCUAACCAGAAAGCCACGGCUAACUACGUGCCAGCCGCCGCCGUAA
rnacentral:rRNA from 1 species